CAAUACCGCGAGGUGGAGCAAACCCCUAAAAAGCCAUCCCAGUUCGGAUCGCAGGCUGCAACCCGCCUGCGUGAAGUUGGAAUCGCUAGUAAUCGCGGAUCAGCAUGCCGCGGUGAAUACGUUCCCGGGCCUUGUACACACCGCCCGUCACACCAUGAGAGUCGGGAACACCCGAAGUCCGUAGCCUAACCGCAAGGGGGGCGCGGCCGAAGGUGGGUUCGAUAAUUGGGGUGAAGUCGUAACAAGGUACC
rnacentral:rRNA from 1 species